rnacentral:rRNA from 1 species
UACGAAGGGGGCUAGCGUUGCUCGGAAUCACUGGGCGUAAAGGGUGCGUAGGCGGGUCUUUAAGUCAGGGGUGAAAUCCUGGAGCUCAACUCCAGAACUGCCUUUGAUACUGAAGAUCUUGAGUUCGGGAGAGGUGAGUGGAACUGCGAGUGUAGAGGUGAAAUUCGUAGAUAUUGCAAGAACACCAGUGGCGAAGGCGGCUCACUGGCCCGAGUACUGACGCUGAGGCACGAAAGCG